rnacentral:rRNA from 1 species
UUUCCACGGGAGGCAGCAGUGAGGAAUAUUGGUCAAUGGGAGAGAUCCUGAACCAGCCAAGCCGCGUGAGGGAAGACGGCCCUAUGGGUUGUAAACCUCUUUUGUCGGAGAACAAAACCCGGGACGAGUCCCGGACUGCGUGUAUCCGAAGAAAAAGCAUCGGCUAACUCCGUGCCAGCAGCCGCGGUAAUACGUAGGAUGCGAGCGUUAUCCGGAUUUAUUGGGUUUAAAGGGAGCGUAGGCGGUCGGUUAAGUCAGCGGUAAAAUUGCGGGGCUCAGCCCCGUCGAGCCGUUGAAACUGGCCG